AUUGAACGCUGGCGGCAUGCUUUACACAUGCAAGUCGAACGGCAGCACAGGGAGCUUGCUCCCGGGUGGCGAGUGGCGCACGGGUGAGUAAUACAUCGGAACGUGUCCUGUUGUGGGGGAUAACUGCUCGAAAGGGUGGCUAAUACCGCAUGAGACCUGAGGGUGAAAGCGGGGGAUCGCAAGACCUCGCGCAAUUGGAGCGGCCGAUGCCCGAUUAGCUAGUUGGUGAGGUAAAGGUUCACCAAGGCGACGAUCGGUAGCUGGUCUGAGAGGACGACCAGCCACACUGGGACUGAGACACGGCCCAGACUCCUACGGGAGGCAGCAGUGGGGAAUUUUGGACAAUGGGGGCAACCCUGAUCCAGCCAUGCCGCGUGCAGGAUGAAGGCCUUCGGGUUGUAAACUGCUUUGUCAGGGACGAAAAGGACCGUGUUAAUACCAUGGUCUGCUGACGGUACCUGAAGAAUAAGCACCGGCUAACUACGUGCC
rnacentral:rRNA from 1 species